GGCACUGCACACUAGCCGGCCACAGCGGCGACAAUGAUGACGCCUGUUGAACUGAGGAGUGUCAUUGGGAAGAGAAGAGGCAAGAGGAGAAGGUGAGAUUGCAGAUACGAUGAGGGGAAAAGAGUCACAGAGAGAUCACAUUAUCAUCGUUCUCAUCAGCCCCGAGCUAAUAAGCCAGUCAGUACUGUGCUUCACAAAUGAUGGCUUUGACCAGAGUUUAGCAGAAUCCUGGACUCAGCUGACCAUUUGGUAUAAAAGGCAAGGCCACGCACCUUCUGCUGAAGAUGACUACAAUCAUCUUGAGGACACAAAGGACUCUUUAAGGACAUGAAGGGGCAGAAAUGAGACUGCAAAUGCUUUGCAUGGGAUUCAGCAUGAACAAAGUCAUCUGAAUUGACUAAACUUUUUGUAUUAUCCCAAAAGAAAAAUGGCAAAUGAUGGAGGCUUACUUGCAGA